AUCUGGCUCAGAUGAACGCUGCGGCAGGCCUAACACAUGCAAGUCGAACGGUAACAGGAAGAAGCUUGCUCUUGCUGACGAGUGGCGGACGGGUGAGUAAUGUCUGGGAAACUGCCUGAUGGAGGGGGAUAACUACUGGAAACGGUAGCUAAUACCGCAUAACGUCGCAAGACCAAAGAGGGGGACCUUCGGGCCUCUUGCCAUCGGAUGUGCCCAGAUGGGAUUAGCUAGUAGGUGGGGUAACGGCUCACCUAGGCGACGAUCCCUAGCUGGUCUGAGAGGAUGACCAGCCACACUGGAACUGAGACACGGUCCAGACUCCUACGGGAGGCAGCAGUGGGGAAUAUUGCACAAUGGGCGCAAGCCUGAUGCAGCCAUGCCGCGUGUAUGAAGAAGGCCUUCGGGUUGUAAAGUACUUUCAGCGGGGAGGAAGGGAGUAAAGUUAAUACCUUUGCUCAUUGACGUUACCCGCAGAAGAAGCACCGGCUAACUCCGUGCCAGCCGCAGC
rnacentral:rRNA from 1 species